GAGUUUGAUUAUGGCUCAGGACAAACGCUGGCGGCGUGCUUAACACAUGCAAGUCGAACGAUGAAACGGAACGGAAGUUUUCGGAUGGAAGUUCUGUGGAUUAGUGGCGGACGGGUGAGUAAUGCGUGAAGAACCUGCCUUUCACAUAGGAAUAGCCUCGGGAAACCGGGAUUAAUACCAAAUGACACUCCGAGAUCGCAUGUUUUUGGGGUUAAAGAUUUUAUCGGUGAAAGAUGGCUUCAUGUCCCAUUAGCUGGUUGGUGAGGUAACGGCUCACCAAGGCGACGAUGGGUAGCCGGCCUGAGAGGGUGAACGGCCACAUUGGAACUGAGACACGGUCCAAACUCCUACGGGAGGCAGCAGUGGGGAAUAUUGCACAAUGGAGGGAACUCUGAUGCAGCGACGCCGCGUGAGCGAUGAAGGUCUUCGGAUCGUAAAGCUCUGUCCUAAGGGACGAUAAUGACCGUACUUAGGNCUC
rnacentral:rRNA from 1 species